AUUGAACGCUGGCGGCGGGCCUAACACAUGCAAGUCGAGCGGAGCGGCGGACGGGUGAGUAAUGCCUAGGAAUAUGCCUGAUAGUGGAGGAUAACAUAAGGAAACGAGCGAUAAUACAGCAUACUAUCAGAUGAACCUAGGUCGGAUUAGCUAGGUGGUGGGGUAAAGGCCUAACCAGGCGACGAUGCGUACAUGGUCUGAGAGGAUGAUCAGUCACACUGGAACUGAGAAACGGUCCAGACGCCUAUGGGAGGCAGCAGUGGGGAAUAUUGGACAAGGGGCGAAAGCCUGAUACAGCCAUGCCGCGUGUGUGAAGAAGGUCUUCGGAUUGUAAAGCACUGUAAGUUGGGAUGCGGUACCAACACAAUAAGCACCGGCUAACUUCGUGCCAGCAGCCGCGGUAAUUC
rnacentral:rRNA from 1 species